rnacentral:lncRNA from 1 species
GAAAAUGGACUUUUAUAUUUAUGAGUAUUGCUUUUUUCAAAUGAUUACAAGAUGAUUUGCUCAGAUUGUAAACAUUCUCCUUUUAUAAAUCCGAUAGUACGCGAUCUCCACUUUUCCUUCAUGGAUCUUCGCCUCCCCCUUCUCUGCUUCAGCUCCCAGAUUAUCUCAACAACUCACGCAAAUCUCUUGUUGGGCCUUCGGCCCAUCCCCAAUCGCACAUUAUUC